rnacentral:rRNA from 1 species
UUCACAUCGGGAUAACUCCGGGAAACCGAAGCUAAUACCGAAUACGACCACUUCAGGCAUCUGAUGGUGGUGGAAAGUUCCGGCGGUGAAGGAUGAGCUCGCGGCCUAUCAGCUUGUUGGUGGGGUAACGGCCCACCAAGGCUUCGACGGGUAGCCGGCCUGAGAGGGUGACCGGCCACACUGGGACUGAGACACGGCCCAGACUCCUACGGGAGGCAGCAGUGGGGAAUAUUGGACAAUGGGCGAAAGCCUGAUCCAGCAACGCCGCGUGAGGGAUGACGGCCUUCGGGUUGUAAACCUCUUUCAGCAGGGACGAAGCGCAAGUGACGGUACCUGCAGAAGAAGCACCGGCCAACUACGUGCCAGCAGCCGCGGUAAUACGUAGGGUGCGAGCGUUGUCCGGAAUUAUUGGGCGUAAAGGGCUCGUAGGCGGUCUGUUGCGUCGGGAGUGAAAACUCAGGGCUUAACCCUGAGCCUGCUUCCGAUACGGGCAGACUAGAGGUAUGCAGGGGAGAACGGAAUUCCUGGUGUAGCGGUGAAAUGCGCAGAUAUCAGGAGGAACACCGGUGGCGAAGGCGGUUCUCUGGGCAUUACCUGACGCUGAGGAGCGAAAGUGUGGGGAGCGAACAGGAUUAG